rnacentral:ncRNA from 1 species
CCGGUCGUGCUAGGGAUAGGGAAUUGCAAUUAUUUCCCUUGAACGAGGAAUUCCCAGUAAGCGCGAGUCAUUAGCUCGCGUUGAUUACGUCCCUGCCCUUUGUACACACCGCCCGUCGCUACUACCGAUUGAAUGGUUUAGUGAGGUCCUCCGAUUGGACCCGGUCCGGGCGGCGACGUCCGAGCCGGCGUCCGAGAAGACGAUCUAACUUGAUCAUUUAGAGGAAGUAAAAGUCGUAACAAGGUUUCCGUAGGUGAACCUGCGGAAGGAUCAUUA